rnacentral:rRNA from 1 species
UACGUAGGGCGCAAGCGUUGUCCGGAAUUAUUGGGCGUAAAGAGCUCGUAGGCGGCCUGUUGCGUCCGCUGUGAAAUCCCGGGGCUUAACCCGGGCCUGCAGUGGAUACGGGCAGGCUGGAGGCAGGCAGGGGAGAACGGAAUUCCCGGUGUAGCGGUGAAAUGCGCAGAUAUCGGGAGGAACACCAAUUGCGAAGGCAGCUCGCUGGGACGUUACUGACGCUGAGACGCGAAAGCGUGGGGAGCAACAGG